UACGUAGGGUGCAAGCGUUAAUCGGAAUUACUGGGCGUAAAGCGUGCGCAGGCGGUUUUGUAAGUCUGUCGUGAAAUCCCCGGGCUCAACCUGGGAAUUGCGAUGGAGACUGCAAGGCUAGAAUCUGGCAGAGGGGGGUAGAAUUCCACGUGUGAGCAGUGAAAUGCGUAGAGAUGUGGAGGAACACCGAUGGCGAAGGCAGCCCCCUGGGUCAAGAUUGACGCUCAUGCACGAA
rnacentral:rRNA from 1 species